rnacentral:rRNA from 1 species
GACGAACGCUGGCGGCGUGCCUAAUACAUGCAAGUCGAGCGGACGGAUGGGAGCUUGCUCCCAGACCGUCAGCGGCGGACGGGUGAGUAACACGUGGGCAACCUGCCUGUAAGACUGGGGUAACUCCGGGAAACCGGGGCUAAUACCGGAUAACUCUUUCCCUCACAUGAGGGAAAGCUGAAAGAUGGCAUCUCGCUAUCACUUACAGAUGGGCCCGCGGCGCAUUAGCUAGUUGGUGAGGUAACGGCUCACCAAGGCGACGAUGCGUAGCCGACCUGAGAGGGUGAUCGGCCACACUGGGACUGAGACACGGCCCAGACUCCUACGGGAGGCAGCAGUAGGGAAUCUUCCGCAAUGGACGAAAGUCUGACGGAGCAACGCCGCGUGAGUGAUGAAGGUUUUCGGAUCGUAAAACUCUGUUGUCAGGGAAGAACAAGUACCGGAGUAACUGCCGGUACCUUGACGGUACCUGACCAGAAAGCCACGGCUAACUACGUG